UUGGCUCAGGAUGAACGCUGGCGGCGUGCUUAACACAUGCAAGUCGAACGGGGAUUACCGAACGGAAGGGCUUCGGUCCGGAAGAUUGGUAAUUCUAGUGGCGGACGGGUGAGUAACGCGUGAGCAACCUGUCCCAGACAGGGGGAUAACACUUGGAAACAGGUGCUAAUACCGCAUAAGACCACGGGGAGACAUCUUCCUGGGGUAAAAGGUGCAAACCGGUUUGGGGUGGGCUCGCGUCCGAUUAGAUAGUUGGUGAGGUAACGGCCCACCAAGUCGACGAUCGGUAGCCGAUCUGAGAGGAUGACCGGCCACAUUGGAACUGAGAGACGGUCCAAACUCCUACGGGAGGCAGCAGUGGGGAAUA
rnacentral:rRNA from 1 species